UGGGGAAUUUUGGGCAAUGGGCGAAAGCCUGACCCAGCAACGCCGCGUGAAGGAUGAAGUAUUUCGGUAUGUAAACUUCGUAAGAAUAGGAAGAAUAAAUGACGGUACUAUUUGUAAGGUCCGGCUAACUACGUGCCAGCAGCCGCGGUAAUACGUAGGGACCAAGCGUUGUUCGGAUUUACUGGGCGUAAAGGGCGCGUAGGCGGCAAUUCAAGUCAUCUGUGAAAUCUCCGGGCUUAACUCGGAACGGUCAGAUGAUACUGCUUUGCUAGAGUGCAGAAGGGGCAAUCGGAAUUCUUGGUGUAGCGGUGAAAUGCGUAGAUAUCAAGAGGAACACCUGAGGUGAAGACGGGUUGCUGGGCUGACACUGACGCUGAGGCGCGAAAGCCAGGGGAGCAAACGGGAUUAGAUACCCCCGUAGUCCCUGAGCGGGCUGGCAAGGCGCAU
rnacentral:rRNA from 1 species